rnacentral:rRNA from 1 species
GACGGCGCCCACCCUGCGACCCCAGGUCAGGCGGGAUUACCCGCUGAAUUUAA